rnacentral:rRNA from 1 species
UACAGAGGGCGCGAGCGUUGUCCGGAAUCACUGGGCGUAAAGGGCGCGUAGGUGGCCACCAUAAGGCCGCGGUGAAAGUUCGGGGCUCAACCCCGGAUCGGCCGCGGCGACUGUGGGGCUCGGGUACUGUAGAGGCAGAUGGAAUUCCGGGUGUAGUGGUGGAAUGCGCAGAUAUCAGGAGGAACACCAAUGGCGAAGGCAGCUCGCUGGGACGUUACUGACGCUGAGACGCGAAAGCGUGGGGAGCAAACAGG